GUGAGCUACAGUCAAAGUCACUUCUGACAAUAGAUUUGUACAAAAUUGAAAGUAUUUUGGGAUCUGCUCUCCAGGAUAUACCAGCAAUACAUUUCAUAACAUUUAAUCCCUUAAGUGCACUUUUGGAUAUGGUUUUUAUAUAUUUUUCAAAUUUCAGAGAUUAAACUGGCAAAACUAUCUGCACAUCAACACCCUCUACGAAAUCCGUAUUGAAAUUGUGGGAUAAUAUUAUUGGAUUCAACAUACCAGUUGAGACAAACUUUAAUCAUAUUUUCAAAUAUUUUACCAAGACAAGAAGAUAAGGAUAUUGGUCUGUAAGAACUGGCAAGCUCCGGAGAUUUGUCAGGCUUGAGUAUGGGGAUAACACAUUGAGUUUUCCAUGAUUGUGGAAUAAUUUUCUUGUACCAAAGUAGAUUUAGGAUAUUAAGGAAAACCUUUUGAGCAGAUUCAUCAAAAUUUUUAAUAAUCAUGUAAGGAUAAUCAUCGAGACCUGGAGUUGUGUUUUGUCUAGAUUGUAAACUCUUUGUAAAUUCAUUCCAUGUAAAUGAAUUAAGUAAAAAUUUUGAAUUUUUA